rnacentral:rRNA from 1 species
GACGUAGGUGGCAAGCGUUGUCCGGAUUUACUGGGCGUAAAGAGCGCGCAGGCGGUCGUGCAAGUCGCGUGUGAAAGCCCCCGGCUCAACUGGGGAGGGUCACGCGAUACUGAUCGACUCGAAGGCAGGAGAGGGUAGUGGAAUUCCCGGUGUAGUGGUGAAAUGCGUAGAUAUCGGGAGGAACACCAGUGGCGAAGGCGGCCCGCUGGGCAGGAAGACGGGCGCAAGCCCGUCGGCUGACACUGAGGCGCGACAGCGUGGGGAGCAAACAGG